AACUUUGUGCAAAGGCAAUAUCGUAACCAACGAGAUUAAUCCGAGGUGCGAUUAUUGUUAAUUGAACUUUCAACGAA